GUGGGCUGAAGCAAAGCUUAUAAGCGCCCUCCCCCAAAAUUAAUAAAUUUUCCCAUUUUACAAUAGCGCAAAGGUUAUAUUUUCAAGGUUAUAUUUUCACAUAAUGUUUUUUAUAUUAUGUACGAUGAUUUUAUGUAGAAAACAGUGAAUACAAAAAAAUUCACAAAUAUGUGUUGUGUUUCAUAUUUAUGAAUUGGACUAUAACUAAGAACCAUAAUUGCACUGUAGUGGGAACUGUGAGACAGUUUUUAUGUCUAUAAUGUUGUAACAUGCAGAGCAACGUUUUGUUAUUUACCUUCAACCUUGUAUAUGGGAUUUUCAGCAGGGUUUGAGUUGAUGCAGGAGCACAGAAAUGACACCAGAGGAAGCUCCUUUAAUUUAUCUCGAUAUGCUGCGUGGAGAGACAUGAGUCCUGUCUGCUGCUCCUCGGAUACAAGAGCUCAGCAGCAUCAGCAGCACUGCCCCUCCCACUGCAUGACAUCAUCUUCCAGUUCUGUCAUUGGACGAGAGAUAUUUCAUAAAUAUUAAAGACAUCCUCUAUGGGAAGACAACUUUACGGGCAUCAUCACCUACGAUGCUACAGGAGCAACAUUUUAAAAGAGGACAAGGGACAGAAAGGAAGACAGCAAGGCAUUGCGUGUCCUCUAAUAACACUGACUGGAAACAGCGAGAGAUCAUCACAGUAAAAAUGAGAUGAUGUGAUUUAGACUUCAUAGCCAGUAACUCCACUUUGCAGCAUGACAUCUGCAGUUUAUCACCUAUACAGAUAAAAGUCUCAGACCUCAUCUUGAAAGGGAUUUUAUGUAAAACCUGAAAAUAAACAACAACAAAAUAAUUUGAAAUAAUAAAAAGGUUGCACUGUUUUUAGGUCACUAAUGAAAGUAAAAAGGAACAUUAUGUUACUUUCUCAAUUCAAUUUAUGUCCUAAGUUAUUGUGCAGGUAAUAUAAAUUGUGAUGAGAAGCUCUGUACUUAAUUAGAAAAAUGCAAAAUAGCAGUACCUUCAAUAGCGAGUUCAAUUCUUUGGACACCCAUUGUAUAAUAUAUAUUGAAUUUUCUCAAUGACAGUUAAAUUAGGACUUCACUGGAAUGCCUGUGCAUUGAUCUUGAGGUUUAAUGGUUAAGCAAAAUGACUGAGAAACGCAUUUAAAUCCCUGUGAGGUGUGACAGACAGGGAUGUCACUGGAAUUACAGCUUCAUCCUAUUUAUGUACGUAUGGAAUUAAAAAACAUAACAUUUAUAAAAUAAAUACUAUUUGUAUUGUCUUUCCCUGCUAAAAAAUGUAUCUGGUCAACAACAUAUGUUGUGUUUUGGAUGCUGAUGUCUAACAGGUCCAUUUACUUUUGUAGCUGAGCUCAAAAAAUUGCUGGGUUAUUUUCAAGCCACCAUGUAGCGUUGGGUCAAAGAGGUACGAACUUAACCCGUUGGGUUGUAAUUUAACCUAUGCUGUGUUGUUUCAACCCCAAAUGCUGAGUUAACCCAUUGUUGGGUCAAAUAUACACAUUUUGGGUCUAUUGCUAUA